CCUGCAUGUGAGUAUUCUGUAUUGUGGUGUACUCAUCAUCUCAAUAUUACUCAUUCUUCUCAUCAUUUCAACCCAUUCUGGAAAUAUCAGUAUGAUGAAAAGAGUUUCUGAAACUUUUUUUUCCCCCAAACAAGGGGAAGAUAAAGAAGAAAAAAAGAGGGGGAGGGGGGGUGGAGUUAAACCCUAUUAAAAAACAUGAAUUAUACUUUUGAAGCAGAAUUGGAGACAUGGAAGAAAAUCAAUUGUCUUCUGUUGCAUCUUCUGUCAGUUUUCUUCCACAUUUUCUCUUCCCCCCCCCUCCCCCCCUCUCUCUCUCUCUCUCUCGAGGGGAGGGGAGUUGAAAGCAGAAAUUAAUUUUCAACUUCGAAAAGCACCCAGAUUCGAGGAUGGUCUUGGAUCUUCAUGCCAUUGCCGCCUGGUCGGUUUCCUGUUUGCUUUGCAAACAUGUCAGAAGAAACGGCUAUGUGGAUGAGGGAAAGAUGAGCUAGCAGUUAAAAUCACUCCAAAUAAUAGCUCCCUUACCAAAUCAUUCAUUUCAUAAUCCUAUUUAUCCCUAAUUUAAUUCCACCUUCCAUUUAGCCUAUUAUUUAGCGCCAAUUGAACAGUGUGGCUACAUAUCAUUACUCUUCACCACGAAACACGUCUUUCCUCAGUGAAAUAAAAACCUACAAUUUGGGAAAAAUGAAAA
rnacentral:lncRNA from 1 species